rnacentral:rRNA from 1 species
AUUGAACGCUGGCGGCAGGCCUAACACAUGCAAGUCGAACGGUAACAGGAAACAGCUUGCUGUUUCGCUGACGAGUGGCGGACGGGUGAGUAAUGUCUGGGAAACUGCCUGAUGGAGGGGGAUAACUACUGGAAACGGUAGCUAAUACCGCAUAACGUCGCAAGACCGAAGAGGGGGACCUUCGGGCCUCUUGCCAUCGGAUGUGCCCAGAUGGGAUUAGCCAGUAGGUGGGGUAACGGCUCACCUAGGCGACGAUCCCUAGCUGGUCUGAGAGGAUGACCAGCCACACUGGAACUGAGACACGGUCCAGACUCCUACGGGAGGCAGCAGUGGGGAAUAUUGCACAAUGGGCGCAAGCCUGAUGCAGCCAUGUCGCGUGUAUGAAGAAGGCCUUCGGGUUGUAAAGUACUUUCAGCGGGGAGGAAGGGAGUAAAGUUAAUACCUUUGCUCAUUGACGUUACCCGCAGAAGAAGCACCGGCUAACUCCGUGCCAGCCGCCGCCGUAA